rnacentral:rRNA from 1 species
UACGUAGGGUGCAAGCGUUGUCCGGAAUUAUUGGGCGUAAAGAGCUCGUAGGCGGUGUGUCGCGUCGGCCGUGAAAACCUGCAGCUUAACUGUGGGCUUGCGGUCGAUACGGGCAUCACUGGAGUUCGGCAGGGGAGACUGGAAUUCCUGGUGUAGCGGUGAAAUGCGCAGAUAUGACCCGGAACACCGAUUGCGAAGGCAGCCUACUAAGCAAUUAUUGACGCUGAGGCACGAAAGCGUGGGAUCAAACAGG